GGAAAAAUCGCCUAAAGGUAUGGCAAUAGUUUGCUAAACUGUGGAGAAAAACUCCUUGGGGGUUCAAGUCCCCCUUUUUCCG
rfam:Smittium culicis strain GSMNP scaffold-9575, whole genome shotgun sequence.